GAAUUUUGCGCAAUGGGCGAAAGCCUGACGCAGCAACGCCGCGUGGAGGAUGAAGGCCUUCGGGUCGUAAACUCCUGUCAGGGGGGACGAAACGUUCCGCGCAAGCGGGACGCUGACUGUACCCCCGGAGGAAGCCACGGCUAACCCCUUGCCAGCAGCCGCGGUAAUACGGAGGUGGCUAGCGUUGUUCGGAAUUACUGGGCGUAAAGGGCGCGUAGGCGGCUAGGCAAGUCAGAUGUGAAAGCCCCGGGCUUAACUUGGGAAUUGCAUCUGAAACUGCCUUGCUUGAGUCCUGGAGGGGGUAGUGGAAUUCCCAGUGUAGCGGUGAAAUGCGUAGAUAUUGGGAGGAACACCGGUGGCGAAGGCGGCUACCUGGACAGUGACUGACGCUGAGGCGCGAAAGCUAGGGGAGCGAACGGG
rnacentral:rRNA from 1 species